rnacentral:rRNA from 1 species
UAUGUAGGCGGUUGCGUAAGUUCGGUGUGAAAUCUCCCGGCUUAACUGGGAGGGUGCGCCGAAAACUGCGUGGCUCGAGUGUGGGAGAGGAGAGCGGAAUUCCUGGUGUAGCGGUGAAAUGCGUAGAUAUCAGGAGGAACACCGGCGGUGUAGACGGCUCUCUGGACCAUUACUGACGCUGAGAUACGAAAGCGUGGGUAGCAAACGGGAUUAGAUACCCUGGUAGUCCACGCCCUAAACGAUGCACACUUGGUGUGAGCAGUUCAUUCUGUUCGUGCCGGAGCUAACGCGUUAAGUGUGCCGCCUGGGGAGUACGGUCGCAAGGCUGAA